UACGUAGGGUGCGAGCGUUAAUCGGAAUUACUGGGCGUAAAGUGUGCGCAGGCGGCCGCGCAAGUCGAGUGUGAAAGCCCCGAGCUUAACUUGGGAAUUGCGCUCGAAACUACGUGGCUGGAGUGUGGCAGAGGAAGGUGGAAUUCCAGGUGUAGCGGUGAAAUGCGCAGAUAUCAGGAGGAACACCAAUAGCGAAGGCAGCUCGCUGGGACGGUACUGACGCUAAGGGCGCGAAAGCGUGGGGAGCGAACAGG
rnacentral:rRNA from 1 species